rnacentral:rRNA from 1 species
GAAGCGGCAAAGCUCAAAUUUGAAAUUUGGCACUUUCAGUGUCCGAGUUGUAAUUUGAAGAAGGUAUCUUUGGGUCUGGCUCUUGUCUAUGUUUCUUGGAACAGAACGUCACAGAGGGUGAGAAUCCCGUGCGAUGAGAUGUCCCAUUCCUAUGUAAAGUUCCUUCGAAGAGUCGAGUUGUUUGGGAAUGCAGCUUUAAGUGGGUGGUAAAUUCCAUUUAAAGUUAAAUAUUGGCGAGAGCCCGAUAGCGACCAAGUCCAGUGAUGGAAAGAUGAAAAGAACUUUGAAAAGAGAGUGAAAAAGUACGUGAAAUUGUUGAAAGGGAAGGGCUUGAGAUCAGACUUGGUAUUUUGUAUGUUACUCUUUCGGGGGUGGCCUCUACAGUUUACCGGGCCAGCAUCAGUUUGGGCGGUAGGACAAUUGCAAAGAAAUGUGGCACUGCCUCGGUAGUGUGUUAUAGUCUUUGUCGAUACUGCCAGCCUAUACUGAGGACUGCGGCU